rnacentral:rRNA from 1 species
UACGUAGGGGGCUAGCGUUGUCCGGAAUCAUUGGGCGUAAAGCGCGUGUAGGCGGCCCGGUAAGUCCGCUGUGAAAGUCGGGGGCUCAACCCUCGGAUGCCGGUGGAUACUGUCGGGCUAGAGUGCGGAAGAGGCGAGUGGAAUUCCUGGUGUAGCGGUGAAAUGCGCAGAUAUCAGGAGGAACACCAAUUGCGAAGGCAGCUCGCUGGAACGUAACUGACGCUGAGACGCGAAAGCGUGGGGAGCAAACAGG